rnacentral:rRNA from 1 species
UGCUGUCCUGAGCACACCAAGUCUUGUCCAGUCUUGGAAGCUAAGCAGGAUGAGCAAAGUUAGUACUUGUGUGGGAUAAUUAUUUUU